AUUGAACGCUGGCGGCAGGCCUAACACAUGCAAGUCGAGCGGAUGAAGGGAGCUUGCUCCUGGAUUCAGCGGCGGACGGGUGAGUAAUGCCUAGGAAUCUGCCUGGUAGUGGGGGAUAACGUCCGGAAACGGGCGCUAAUACCGCAUACGUCCUGAGGGAGAAAGUGGGGGAUCUUCGGACCUCACGCUAUCAGAUGAGCCUAGGUCGGAUUAGCUAGUUGGUGGGGUAAAGGCCUACCAAGGCGACGAUCCGUAACUGGUCUGAGAGGAUGAUCAGGCACACUGGAACUGAGACACGGUCCAGACUCCUACGGGAGGCAGCAGUGGGGAAUAUUGGACAAUGGGCGAAAGCCUGAUCCAGCCAUGCCGCGUGUGUGAAGAAGGUCUUCGGAUUGUAAAGCACUUUAAGUUGGGAGGAAGGGCAGUAAGUUAAUACCUUGCUGUUUUGACGUUACCAACAGAAUAAGCACCGGCUAACCUCGUG
rnacentral:rRNA from 1 species